CGCCCUUCGCCGGCUCGCCCAGCCCCGGAAGUGGCGUCACCCUCAAGCCGGAACCUCUGGCUUUCGUGAGGAUAUUGAAUAUUGAGAAUUUGAAUUUUUGAUGAUUGGAACUCUUCAGAUUAAAGAAAUAGAAAUGGGGCUUCUCUGGUGGCGCAGUGGUUGAGAAUCUGCCUGCCAAUGCAGGGGACAUGGGUUCGAGCCCUGGUCCAGGAAGAUCCCACAUGCCAUGGAGCAACUAGGCCCAUGAGCCACAACUACUGAGCCUACGCUCUAGAGCCUGCGAGCCACAGCUACUGAGUCUGUGUGCCACAACUACUGAAGCCUGCGUGCCUAGAGCCUGUGCUCCGCAACAAGAGAAGCCACCACAAUGAGAAGCCCGAGCACUGCAACCAAGAGUAGCUCCUGCUUGCCACAACUAGAGAAAAUCCGCGUGCAGCAAUGAGGACGCAACACAGCCAAAUAAAUAAAUAAUAAUUUUUUUAAAAAAGAAAACCUUUAUAAAAAAAAGAAAAAUUUUCAUGGGCUAGCAGAAUCUUUGGAGUUGGUUCUGGGACACAGGUCCACCUUCUCCCCAGGUUGCCAGCCUCCUGAAUAAAGCAACAUUUCCCUUUCCAACCAACUCUAGUCUCUCGAGUACUGGCUUUUGAGCAGUGAGCAGCCAAACCUGAGUUUGGUAACAGCUUCACAUAUAUACAUAAUUAUCUACAGACAAGUCCAGGUUCUGCCACUUGCUGCUGGAAUACCUCUCUU